UACGAAGGGGGCUAGCGUUGUUCGGAAUUACUGGGCGUAAAGCGCGCGCAGGCGGUCUUCCAAGUCAGUGGUGAAAGCCCGGAGCUCAACUCCGGAACUGCCAUUGAAACUGUUAGACUUGAGGAUGAGAGAGGUGAGUGGAAUUCCCAGUAUAGAGGUGAAAUUCGUAGAUAUUGGGAAGAACACCGGUGGCGAAGGCGGCUCACUGGCUCAUUACUGACGCUCAGGCGCGAUAGCGUGGGGAUCAAACAGG
rnacentral:rRNA from 1 species